GAUGAACGCUAGCGGCAGGCUUAAUACAUGCAAGCCGAGGGACAGCACAGGUAGCAAUACUGGGUGGUAACCGGCAAACGGGUGCGGAACACGUACACAACCUUCCUUUAAGUGGGGGAUAGCCCAGAGAAAUUUGGAUUAAUACCCCGUAAUAUAGUUGAAUGGCAUCAUUUGAUUAUUAUAGCUACGGCGCUUAAUGAUGGGUGUGCGGCUGAUUAGAUAGUUGGCGGGGUAACGGCCCACCAAGUCUACGAUCAGUAGCUGAUGUGAGAGCAUGAUCAGCCACACGUGCACUGAGACACGGUCCCGACUCCUACGGGAGGCAGCAGUAAGGAAUAUUGGUCAAUGGACGCAAGUCUGAACCAGCCAUGCCGCGUGAAGGAUUAAGGUCCCCUGGAUUGUAAACUUCUUUUAUUUGGGACGAAAAAGGGCCUUUCUAGGUCAACUGACGGUACCAGAUGAAUAAGCACCGGCUAACUCCGUGCCAGCCGCCGCGGUAAGAC
rnacentral:rRNA from 1 species